rnacentral:rRNA from 1 species
AACGAACGCUGGCGGCAUGCCUAACACAUGCAAGUCGAACGAGACCUUCGGGUCUAGUUGCGCACGUGUGCGUAACGCGUGGUAACCUGCCCUUAGGUUCGGAAUACCUCCCCGAAAGGGGUGCUAAUACCGGAUAAUGUCUUCGGACCAAAGAUUUAUCGCCUUUGGGUGGGCCCGGGUUGGAUUAGCUAGUUGGUAGGGUAAAAGCCUACCAAGGCGACGAUCCAUAGCUGGUCUGAGAGGAUGAUCAGCCACAAUGGGACUGAGACACGGACCAGACUCCUACGGGAGGCAGCAGUGGGGAAUAUUGGACAAUGGGCGAAAGCCUGAUCAAGCAAUGCCGCGGGAGUGAUGAAGGCCUUAGGGUUGUAAAGCUCUUUUAACCGGGAUGAUAAUGACAGUAACGGGAGAAUAAGCACCGGCUAACUACGUG